rnacentral:tRNA from 1 species
GCCCCGGUAGUCUAGAGGCCAAGGACACCGGCCUUUCGAGCCGGUGACCCGGGUUCAAAUCCCGGUCGGGGCA